rnacentral:rRNA from 1 species
UACGUAGGGACCGAGCGUUAUCCGGAUUCAUUGGGCGUAAAGAGCUCGUAGGCGGCUAUUCAAGUCGAACGUGAAAUCUCGGAGCUCAACUCCGAGCCUGCGUUCGAUACUGGGUAGCUAGAGUCUGGUAGGGGGAUCUGGAAUUCCUGGUGUAGCGGUGGAAUGCGCAGAUAUCGGGAGGAACACCAAUGGCGAAGGCAGCUCGCUGGGACGUGACUGACGCUGAGACGCGAAAGCGUGGGGAGCAAACAGG